rnacentral:rRNA from 1 species
AUUGAACGCUGGCGGCAUGCCUUACACAUGCAAGUCGAACGGCAGCACGGGUGCUUGCACCUGGUGGCGAGUGGCGAACGGGUGAGUAAUAUAUCGGAACGUACCUUAUUGUGGGGGAUAACGCAGCGAAAGCUGUGCUAAUACCGCAUAAUCCCUAAGGGGGAAAGCGGGGGGCCGUAAGGCCUCGCGCAAUUAGAGCGGCCGAUACCUGAUUAGCUAGUUGGUGAGGUAAAGGCUCACCAAGGCAACGAUCAGUAGCUGGUCUGAGAGGACGAUCAGCCCCACUGGGACUGGGACACGGACCAGACUCCUACGGGAGGCAGCAGUGGGGAAUUUUGGACAAUGGGGGCAACCCUGAUCCAGCAAUGCCGCGUGAGUGAAGAAGGCCUUCGGGUUGUAAAGCUCUUUUGUCAGGGAAGAAACAGCAGCUCUAACACAGUAUGCGAAUGACGGUACCUGAAGAAUAAGCACCGGCUAACUGCGUGCCAGCCGCCGCGGUAA